UGGGGAAUUUUGGACAAUGGGCGAAAGCCUGAUCCAGCAAUGCCGCGUGUGUGAAGAAGGCCUUCGGGUUGUAAAGCACUUUUGUCCGGAAGGAAAUCCUUGGCUCUAAUACAGUCGGGGGAUGACGGUACCGGAAGAAUAAGCACCGGCUAACUACGUGCCAGCAGCCGCGGUAAUACGUAGGGUGCAAGCGUUAAUCGGAAUUACUGGGCGUAAAGCGUGCGCAGGCGGUUUGCUAAGACCGAUGUGAAAUCCCCGGGCUCAACCUGGGAACUGCAUUGGUGACUGGCAGGCUAGAGUAUGGCAGAGGGGGGUAGAAUUCCACGUGUAGCAGUGAAAUGCGUAGAGAUGUGGAGGAAUACCGAUGGCGAAGGCAGCCCCCUGGGCCAAUACUGACGCUCAUGCACGAAAGCGUGGGGAGCAAACAGGAUUAGAUACCCUGGUAGUCCACGCCCUAAAACGAUGUCAACUAGUUGUUGGGGAUUCAUUUCCUUAGUAACGUAGCUAACGCGUGAAGUUGACCGCCUGGGGAGUACGGUCGCAAGAUUAAAACUUAAAUGAAUUGACGGGGUCAUAGCUGUUUCCU
rnacentral:rRNA from 1 species